rnacentral:rRNA from 3 species
CAGGAUGAACGCUGGCGGUAUGCUUAACACAUGCAAGUCGAACGGUCUUUUAGGAGACAGUGGCGGACGGGUGAGUAACGCGUAAGAAUCUACCUUCAGGUUGGGGACAACCACUGGAAACGGUGGCUAAUACCGAAUGUGCCGAGAGGUGAAAGGCUUGCUGCCUGAAGAAGAGCUUGCGUCUGAUUAGCUAGUUGGUAGUGUAAGAGACUACCAAGGCGACGAUCAGUAGCUGGUCUGAGAGGAUGAUCAGCCACACUGGGACUGAGACACGGCCCAGACUCCUACGGGAGGCAGCAGUGGGGAAUUUUCCGCAAUGGGCGAAAGCCUGACGGAGCAAUACCGCGUGAGGGAGGAAGGCUCUUGGGUUGUAAACCUCUUUUCUCAGGGAAGAACAGAAUGACGGUACCUGAGGAAUAAGCAUCGGCUAACUCCGUGCCAGCAGCCGCGGUAAUACGGAGGAUGCAAGCGUUAUCCGGAAUGAUUGGGCGUAAAGGGUCCGCAGGUGGCAUUGUAAGUCUGCUGUUAAAGAGUUUGGCUCAACCAAAUAAGAGCAGUGGAAACUACAAAGCUAGAGUGUGGUCGGGGCAGAGGGAAUUCCUGGUGUAGCGGUGAAAUGCGUAGAUAUCAGGAAGAACACCAGUGGCGAAGGCGCUCUGCUAGGCCGAGACUGACACUGAGGGACGAAAGCUAGGGGAGCGAAUGGGAUUAGAUACCCCAGUAGUCCUAGCCGUAAACGAUGGAUACUAGGCGUAGCUCGUAUCGACCCGAGCUGUGCCGGAGCUAACGCGUUAAGUAUCCCGCCUGGGGAGUACGCAGGCAACUGUGAAACUCAAAGGAAUUGACGGGGGCCCGCACAAGCGGUGGAGUAUGUGGUUUAAUUCGAUGCAACGCGAAGAACCUUACCAAGGCUUGACAUGUCACGAAUCCUAUUGAAAGAUGGGAGUGCCUUCGGGAGCGUGAACACAGGUGGUGCAUGGCUGUCGUCAGCUCGUGUCGUGAGAUGUUGGGUUAAGUCCCGCAACGAGCGCAACCCUCGUUUUUAGUUGCCAGCAUUAAGAUGGGCACUCUAGAGAGACUGCCGGUGACAAACCGGAGGAAGGUGGGGAUGACGUCAAGUCAGCAUGCCCCUUACGUCUUGGGCUACACACGUACUACAAUGCUCCGGACAAAGGGCAGCUACACAGCGAUGUGAUGCGAAUCUCAUAAACCGGAGCUCAGUUCAGAUCGAAGGCUGCAACUCGCCUUCGUGAAGGAGGAAUCGCUAGUAAUUGCAGGUCAGCAUACUGCAGUGAAUUCGUUCCCGGGCCUUGUACACACCGCCCGUCACACCAUGGAAGUUGGUCACGCCCGAAGUCGUUACCCCAACCUAUUGGAGGGGGAUGCCUAAGGUAGGACUGAUGACUGGGGUGAAGUCGUAACAAGGUAGCCGUACCGGAAGGUGUGGCUGGAUCACCUCCUUU